AGUAUUCUACAACACAAUGUCCUCCCGGAUGGCGUACGUUUGCUGGGAAAAGGUUUCGUUCUUCAACAAGGUAACGAUCCCAAACAUAAAGAAAAGAGAGUUAUGCGUUAUCUUGGCAACAAGGAAAAAGACGGCACCAUUAAAAACAUGAUCUGGCCACCACAAAGUCCCGAUUUAAACCCCUUCGAGAAAAUUUGGGAUCAUCUUGACACAUCUGUACGAAGGAUAUGUAUACUAACUUAAAAAAUUUCUUUGAACACCUACAAAAGUGCUG